GGGUUUUGUACAAAAUGAUAGGGGUAGGGAAAGAAAAUUAAAGAGAGAAAUGGAAACAAACUUAAGAAGUUGAUAAUGAGUUUUUGGGCUUCUUUACAAUUAAAACAGGGCACUUUACACUCUUUGCACAAUGGUUGCUCACACUCCCAAUAAAUGCCCUUUUAAUUGGACCAUAGCCAUGGCUACCCAUUACCAACACGUCAGCACCCAAUUUCUCCACCAUCUGACAUAUCACAUCUCUUGCAUCUCCACUUUCCACCCUCGUCUCCACCUUCACAUUGUUUAGGUCUUUGCACAGCCUCUUGGCCUUCUCCACCACGGCCUCUGCCACGUCAUAACUAUAUCUCUCCAACGUGGCCAUUAUAUCCGCCGAAAACAAAUACCCUGUGCCAUCCAAGGCGGUGUAAAUGGGGCGGGGUGGCCGGGCGUGGAGGAGGAUGAGGGUAUCUUUGGAAUUUUGAGAAAUUACAUUCUUCAAACACCAAGAUAGCGCAUACAAGCUCUCCUCGCUUUCAUCGACGGCCACAAGGAUCUUCCUCUCACGUUCUGACACGUCACCCAUCUGAUCGGACAAUAAUCCAACGGCCAAUAUGAAAUCUCCGGAAACGGUUGCCA
rnacentral:misc_RNA from 1 species